rnacentral:rRNA from 1 species
UACGUAGGGGGCAAGCGUUGUCCGGAUUUAUUGGGCGUAAAGAGCGUGUAGGCGGUCCGGUAAGUCCGCUGUGAAAGUCGGGGGCUCAACCCUCGAAUGCCGGUGGAUACUGUCGGGCUAGGAGUGCGGAAGAGGCGAGUGGAAUCCUGGUGUAGCGGUGAAAUGCGUUGAUAUCGGAAGGAACGCCGGUGGCGAAAGCGCGCUGCUGGACCUCUGCUGACGCUGAGGCGCGAAAGCCAGGGGAGCAAACGGG